GACGAACGCUGGCGGCGUGCUUAACACAUGCAAGUCGAACGGAAAGGCCCUGCUUGCAGGGUGCUCGAGUGGCGAACGGGUGAGUAACACGUGGGUGAUCUGCCCCUUACUUUGGGUUAAGCCUGGGAAACUGGGUCUAAUACUGGAUAGGACCAUGCUGUAGGUGGUGUGGUGGAAAGAUUUUUUCGGUAAGGGAUGAGCUCGCGGCCUAUCAGCUGGUUGGUGGGGUAAUGGCUUACCAAGGCGUCGACGGGUAGCCGGCUGGAGAGGGUGGACGGCCACAUUGGGACUGCGCUACGGGCCAGACUCCUACGGGAGGCAGCAGUGGAGAAUAUUGCACUAUGGGAGCAAGCCUGAGGCAGCGACGACGCGUGGGGGAUGGCGGCCUUCGGGUUGUAGACUCCUUUCAGCCAUGACGAAGCCUCUUUUGGGGUGACGGUAGUGGUAGAAGAAGCACCGGCUAACUACGUG
rnacentral:rRNA from 1 species